UGGAAAUUGAAUAUUGUGCCAUAGACAGUAGGUGAUAAGGUAUUCUAUACUUUAGUCAUAAUUGAUGAAAAUCAUCCUACCGAGGUUUUAUUAAUAACGAUUAAUUACCCUUUGUAUGUCUAUGCACAAACAAAGGGUUUUUUAUUUAUAUU
rfam:Clostridium cellulolyticum H10, complete genome.